GAAAGGAUGCAAACCUUCUGAAAGGUUGGAAGCUCCUGCAGAGCCCCAGGAGAGAAUAGCUGAAAGCAGCUGUUCUAUAACCCUGAGGCAGAGGGCAAGGAGUAAGUACAAAGGAGUGUAGGGGAAUUUAUCUUAAACAGGCUUGUUUACUUAUGUUGACCAGGAACUGACCUUUGAUCAUCCACACACCUGACUUUCUCUGGAAGGAGAACAAUAAAUGUUAAUUACCUACAGGUUGUGUUGGCUCCAGGUUUUUGGCAUUGUGCCUGAGCUGAAUAAAAGCAAGCAGCUCCAGCUUCUCCAGGCUGCUGUCUGGCCGUUAGAGCCAGCCAGUCACCUAGCUGCUUUUAUACUGCAUACCUGUGUCUGAGUACUCAUUUCAUCCAUUGGCCAAGGCCUGUGGGACAGACCUGGCAAGAGCCCAGCCAAGAUGAACCAACUUGCCUACACAACCACCCCCAACUGCCACCGAUGCACAUCCCUGCCUUUUGUUGUAGUC
rnacentral:lncRNA from 10 species